rnacentral:rRNA from 1 species
GAUGAACGCUGGCGGCGUGCCUAAUACAUGCAAGUAGAACGCUGAAGGAAGGAGCUUGCUCUUUCCGGAUGAGUUGCGAACGGGUGAGUAACGCGUAGGUAACCUGCCUGGUAGCGGGGGAUAACUAUUGGAAACGAUAGCUAAUACCGCAUAACAGUAGAUGUUGCAUGAUAUCUACUUAAAAGGUGCAAUUGCACCACUACCAGAUGGACCUGCGUUGUAUUAGCUAGUUGGUGAGGUAACGGCUCACCAAGGCGACGAUACAUAGCUGACCUGAGAGGGUGAUCGGCCACACUGGGACUGAGACACGGCCCAGACUCCUACGGGAGGCAGCAGUAGGGAAUCUUCGGCAAUGGACGGAAGUCUGACCGAGCAACGCCGCGUGAGUGAAGAAGGUUUUCGGAUCGUAAAGCUCGGUUGUAAGAGAAGAACGAGUGUGAGAGUGGAAAGUUCACACUGUGACGGUAUCUUACCAGAAAGGGACGGCUAACUACGUG